UGGAGGCCAGCUUGUGGAGUGUCU
rnacentral:piRNA from 1 species